UUUCUUUCUGGCAAUUCUCCUUGUCUUAAAACAAAAUAAAACCACCCAGUGGAUGGGAAAGAGGGAAUGAAAACGAGAUUAUACUGUGUGAAAUUGACAAAAGUAUGUGACUAUUUUCCCAUGAGACAGGAUGAAGGCUUUUCUUCCCCACAUAAGCUUAGCUUUUCCCUGUGUUUUUUUCUUGCCAAGGUAGAGUCAAAUCCUGCACAGCAGCUGUGGGGAGAACAGAGAACAGGACUGUCUUUCUAACAGUGUUAUAGACCUUCUUUUUCUUUUUUUUAAUUGUGGUAAACACACAUUUUAACCACUUUUAAGCAUAUGGUUUAGUAAUGUUAAACAUAUUCACAUUGUUAUGAAACAGAUCUCUAAAACUUUUUCAUCUUGCAAAUCUGAAGUUCCAUAUCCAUUAAACAACAGCUCUUCUCUUUUUCCUCUUCUACUGUCUCCUGCU